rnacentral:lncRNA from 1 species
AGCUACGUCCCUCUCAAUGCUCCAAAAACCCAAGUGCUGAUGGAGAUCAGGGAGUAGCUGCCAAGGUCGAAAAGGAUGCGCACACACUCUGAGAAGUACAACCCUAACAAGUUUUGCCUCUAUCAUCGUGACCAUGGCCAUGACACGGAGGAGUGUAUUCAACUCUAAGAUGAGAUCGAGGAGCUCAUCAGACGAGGUUGGCUCGAUAGAUUCAUCCGAUGCCAGCCUGAAGAUAGGGA